UACGUAGGGUGCGAGCGUUGUCCGGAAUUAUUGGGCGUAAAGAGCUUGUAGGCGGUUUGUCGCGUCUGCUGUGAAAAUCCGGGGCUCAACCCCGGACUUGCAGUGGGUACGGGCAGACUAGAGUGUGGUAGGGGAGACUGGAAUUCCUGGUGUAGCGGUGAAAUGCGCAGAUAUCAGGAGGAACACCAAUAGCGAAGGCAGCUCGCUGGGACGUUACUGACACUGGAGGCGCGAAAGCGUGGG
rnacentral:rRNA from 1 species